GGGGUCGACUGGUUUUGACAGCGAGAUUAAUUAAAUGGUAAGCACGUCGUGUAAUGGUAUUGAGACACGUAAAAGGCUAGACCAAACUUUAAACGGCGAGAAUAACUACGCUUUAGCUGCGUAAUCUGAAUUAUAGUAAGAUUGUGCUAGUUCCUACUAGGUAGGAAGGCUAAAUGUCUCCAGAAAGCCUUGGUUGGUGGCGUUCUAUUUUGAGGCAUCGUAAAAAUUAACCAAGAUUGGACAGUGCUUCGAUGUCCUUUCGAGAUUUAGAAGCUAAGCUGUAAGUAGGCUGUUUUUUGUCAGCUUACAGUCUAAAACCAAGAAAAAACUAAACGUGUAGAAAGCUCUUUGGUUACUUGUUUGGACGAGGGUUCGAAUCCCUCCGACUCCACCA
rnacentral:tmRNA from 1 species